rnacentral:sRNA from 1 species
GCCGGGCGUUGUGGCAGGCACCUGUAGUCCCAACUACUUGGGAGGCUGAGGCAAGAGAAUCACCUAGGCCCAGGAGCUGGAGGUUGCUGUGAACUGUGACGCCACGGCACUCUACCAAGGGUGACAAGGUAAGACUCUGUCUCUAAAAAAAAAAUCUUGUGAACAAAGCUAAGGAUUAUCAAACGUCCCCUGGGUAGAGUGCCAUGGCAUCAUAUCUCACAGCAAUCCCAAACUCUUGGGCUGAAGCAAUCCUCUUGCC